CGUCACAGGUGCGCGGCGUGGUACCGUGAGUUCAACCGGAUGGAGCACCUGGUGGAGCACAUGCGGUCGUCGCACCACUUCCACCACGAGCCCCGCUGCGGCGUCUGCGGCAAGCACUGCCUCUCCCUCGACGCCCUCCGCGACCACCUUAGCUUCGGCGCCUCCCUGCCCUCCAAGCCCGCCUGCGCCAACGCCUUCCAACCCCACGGCUGCCCACUCUGCCUCGCCGUCUUCCCCACCUCCCCCGCCCUCCGCGCCCACUGCGCCGCAUGCAAGCUCUCCCGCGCUCCGAUCGCCUCUUUCGUGCAUAGCCUCACCCGAAGCAUGUCGAGGCUGGGGUGCAAGAUGGUCGGCGGCGGUAGCGACGGCACGCUCGAUGUGUGGGCGCGCGUCUGCGUCGUCGACCAGCACGAGGCCAUCCUCUACGAGAGCUUCAUGAAGCCCCUCCCAGUGACGCACUACCGGUACGAGACCACCGGCAUCCGGCCCGAGCACCUUCGCGACGCGCCCACGGUGAAGCAGGCGAUGCGGCGGGUGCAGGACACCCUCCUCAACGGCGAGCAGUCCUACUCCUACUCCUACUCCUCCCGCGGCGCCGCCCGGCUCCUCGUCGGCCAUGGGCUGGAGCACGACCUCGACGCGUUGGGCAUGGACUACCAGGCGCACCUUAGGAGGGACACGGCCGUGUGCCGGCCGCUGAUGAAGACCAGCGCUAGGCUCAUGAGCAAUUCGCUCCGGUAUCUCACGCGGAGCUUCCUGGGCUAUGAUAUACAGACAGGUGGCCACCAUCAUCCCUACGACGACUGCGUGGCCGCCAUGCGCCUAUACAAGAGGAUGCGCGCCAUGAGUCACCUGAACCUUUACGACGACGAUGAUGAGUCCACGGUCAAGGCCUUCCCAGAGUGGAGGCAGCGAGAGCUGGAGCGCAUGUCGCCGGAGGAGCUCCUGGUGAUGUCCAAGCCCGACUACCGAUGUUGGUGCCUCGACGACCGGCGAUGCUAA
rnacentral:rRNA from 1 species